rnacentral:tRNA from 1 species
GCAAGUGUGGCCGAGUGGUUAAGGCGUCGUGUUUAGGCCGCGAUUCUCCGGAGCGUGAGUUCGAAUCUCACCGCUUGCA